rnacentral:rRNA from 1 species
AGGUUAAGUGAAUAAGGGCGCACGGUGGAUGCCUUGGCACUAGGAGCCGAUGAAGGACGGGACUAACACCGAUAUGCUUUGGGGAGCUGUACGUAAGCUAUGAUCCAGAGAUUUCCGAAUGGGGGAACCCAACAUCUUUAAUAGGAUGUUACGAUUGUGUGAAUACAUAGCACAUUCGAGGUAGACGCAGAGAACUGAAACAUCUAAGUACCUGCAGGAAGAGAAAGAAAAUUCGAUUCCCUGAGUAGCGGCGAGCGAAACGGGAAAAGCCCAAACCAGCAAGCUUGCUUGUUGGGGUUGUAGGACUCCAAUAUGGUAGUUCUUUCAGAUAGUCGAAUGACUUGGAAAAGUCAGUCAAAGAGGGUAAAAACCCCGUAGACGAAAUGUGGAAGACACCUAGGAGGAUCCUGAGUACGGCGGAACACGAGAAAUUCCGUCGGAAUCCGGGAGGACCAUCUCCCAAGGCUAAAUACUCCCUAGUGACCGAUAGUGAACCAGUACCGUGAGGGAAAGGUGAAAAGCACCCCGGAAGGGGAGUGAAAUAGAACCUGAAACCGUGUGCCUACAACAAGUCAAAGCCCGUUAAUGGGUGAUGGCGUGCCUUUUGUAGAAUGAACCGGCGAGUUACGAUUGCAUGCGAGGUUAAGUUGAAGAGACGGAGCCGCAGCGAAAGCGAGUCUGAAUAGGGCGUUUGAGUAUGUAGUCGUAGACCCGAAACCAUGUGAUCUACCCAUGUCCAGGUUGAAGGUGCGGUAAAACGCACUGGAGGACCGAACCCACGUACGUUGAAAAGUGCGGGGAUGAGGUGUGGGUAGCGGAGAAAUUCCAAACGAACUUGGAGAUAGCUGGUUCUCUCCGAAAUAGCUUUAGGGCUAGCCUCGGAAUUGAGAAUGAUGGAGGUAGAGCACUGUUUGGACUAGGGGCCCAUCUCGGGU